UGGAACGUAGCUCAGUAGGUAGAGCAAUGGCUUUUAUCCUAAGCGAAGGUUCGAGUCCUUCCGUUCCGA
rnacentral:tRNA from 1 species